rnacentral:rRNA from 1 species
GUGGGGAAUCAUCCGCAAUGGACGAAAGUCUGACGGAGCAACGCCGCGUGAGUGAUGAAGGUCUUCGGAUUGUAAAGCUCUGUUAAUCGGGACGAAAGAGCCUAGUGUGAAUAAUGCUAGGAAGUGACGGUACCGGAAUAGAAAGCCACGGCUAACUACGUGCCAGCAGCCGCGGUAAUACGUAGGUGGCAAGCGUUGUCCGGAAUUAUUGGGCGUAAAGCGCGCGCAGGCGGAUCUGCCAGUCUGUCUUAAAAGUUCGGGGCUUAACCCCGUGAUGGGAUGGAAACUACAGAUCUAGAGUAUCGGAGAGGAAAGUGGAAUUCCUAGUGUAGCGGUGAAAUGCGUAGAUAUUAGGAAGAACACCAGUGGCGAAGGCGACUUUCUGGACGAAAACUGACGCUGAGGCGCGAAAGCCAGGGGAGCGAACGGGAUUAGAAACCCGUGUAGUCC